GGGCGUGAGGGUGAUCUGGCUGCGACAUCUGUCACCCCAUUGAUCGCCAGGGUUGAUUCGGCUGAUCUGGCUGGCUAGGCGGGUGUCCCCUUCCUCCCUCACCGCUCCCUGUGCGUCCCUCCCGAAGCUGCGCGCUCGGUGGAAGAGGACGACGUCCCAGGUAUAGAAGGAGUGUACCGAGGUCUCCAGUCUUCGGUCCCGGGUAUACGAUAGCUGCGCUCCCCUGCUAGAACCUCCAAACAAGCUCAAGCCUCAAACAAGGAUGGUAAAACAUCAAAAACAUCCGGGCGUCCCCUGGGCAAUGUCC
rnacentral:snRNA from 1 species